GAAGCCAAUCAAUGCCCAGUGUUACAAGUGAUGAAAGGUAAGAACAAAGUCAGAGAGUGGGAAAACUGCCUAUUUCGCAGAUUCUUUAGCUUCCCUGAUGAAUAUUUGUGGGUGCCUACCAUGUGCCCGUCUCUGCACUAGGCGAGGGGACCCUGCAGGAAGAAAGAGAGACUGGUCUCGGCAGUCUUCCUGGAAAGUGGGGACCAACAUUGAACAAGAUGAUGCAAGGUCAUGAGUCUCCCAAGAGGAAAUAUGAAGUGCUAUAGGGGCAUGUAAUGGGAGGGGGCUAACCUCGUCUGAAUCAUUAGGGAAAGCUGUGAAGUUGUCCCUGAGAUCAGGAGGGUAAGUAGCGUUUCCUUCCUUCCCUCCUUUCUUCAGGUCUACUCACUUAGCAACAUAAGUGUAACAUAGGACAGCGGACUGCCUGGCACAUGAUAGGCUCUCAAUGAAUAUUUGUUAAUGAGUUAGAAAAUAAUUAUUCAGACUUUCAGUUCCUCCACGACUGAGUAGUCCCAAUUCCUCCUAUGUCCUCCCUAUUACAGCCCCAAAUUCCUGCACAUGACACAACUAAAACAUAGGAAGCCCGUGAAAGGUGGAAAGAAGAAGGCAGAGGUCCCGGAACUUGAGGAACAACACGCAGGCCUUCGGACUUGGAGUGGAACUACACAGCCAACUUUCCUGGGUCUCCAGCUUGCAGACAGCAGAUAUUCUCAGCCCCGAUAAUCAUGACCACAAAUAUAAACCAGACAUUCUCCAGGCAAACCAGCAUACUAUGGUCAUGCUACAGUUGGAAGAAUUAUUUCAAUGAAAUAGUUGGAGUGGUGGCUGUACAUGCAUGCCAGGAGGCCUGAUGCUGAGCGUGGAGGAUAGGAUUACAGAAUAGGGAGCGCAGAAGCAACAGGUAAGGCUGUGU